UUGGUCUGUAGCUGGGAGCAAGGAAGGAGGGAAAGCCAAAUUGAAGUGCCUGAACUUCUCUCCAGAUCUCUUCUCUGGAGAAGUUCCUAAUACAAGCCUCUAAAAUACACUUCAUUAAGAAACAGAAGCUACUAAAAUGUGUUUAUUAAUCUAAUGCACUAAGAUGUAUUCCAAGUUACUAAGAUGUAAUAUUUCUGUUCAGAUGAGAUCCUGCUCUAGCCUAUUGCAGCAUGGGAAAAGUGAAAUUAAGGGGGGAAAUACUGUUCAUGUGUAGAAGUUGGCAUAAUGCUUUUUCUCCCUUAAGGUCAAUUCUGCAACAGCUCUGAGAGAUCCAGGCAAGUAAUUGCAAACUGAAACAAGAACAGGAAAGGCUGAGAAAGGUCAAAGUAACUUUUGUGUUGAAACUGGAGUGCCAAGAACUGGUUAAGAGUAGCACAGCAAGCUUUUAGCUUUUUUUUCCCCUGCAGGAAUCAUGCAGUUUUGAGAAUUAGCAUGUGAGCAUACUGUGGCUGAAAUACUUACUUAGCUUUAUUUGAAAGCAGGUCGUCUUCUUAAGAUUAGGCCAUUGAGAAUGACACAGAGCUUGGAGGUAUCCCACCCUCCCAGGAUAUGUGGUGAGGAACUGAAGGUAUUAGGUCAGCUUUCCUCUUAAAGGAACCAGACUGAAAAGCUUAUUCCCUUCAAAAUACAUAGCUAUGCCACAAUUUGAGGUUUGUGCAGUGGCUCCUUUUCAUUAAAGAGCAAGGUAUAAUAGUAGUACCUAGCUAAGGUGUAAGGAUUUUUCAGUUCUUUAGCAGCAGUACUUCUCCUGGGAGGAGAUACCCUGGUUCAGGACAGGGACUAGACUGGCUUUCACUGGGUGAUAACAUGGGCUCUGGCCUCUUAACAAGACCUAGAUAUAGAGAAUAAGUAUUUUAUACUAAAUGGAGCAGGGGCAAGUAGUCUUACUAAAUUCUGAUUGGGGGUGUCUGCUCUGACACAUGUGUGAUAGUCUAGAGUGCUCAGUUAUCAUUUUUUUGCUUGCUAAAUGGCUUGAGUUUCACUCAGAGGGCAGCGAGACCAGCAUUACCAUGCCAUAAAAAAUGCGAGAAAGUAAUCUCUUGCACUGAAUUCUGAUUUCACCUCUGCCUCUCACCAGAGAGAUCUGCUCUUUGCAAGAACACAACUACACUGACGCAGUUUUCUGAGAAGAUCCCUCCAAGAAAGAAAUGAUAGAUGUUCAAGAAACUUGAUGUACAUGGUGGAAAAGAAAUAACUUCUUCCUGAAACCCUUGCUCCCAGAAAGAAUGCUUUCAUAUGUUAUCCCCCCUCAGAGGACUGGCUGACAGUGUGAGUGUACAGGAACACAGCUGCUUCCUUGAGCACAGAAACUAUUUCAGCUGUGUGCUCUAAUGAGGCUUAAUGAGAGGACUCAAUGAAAGAGAUGGCCAAGCCAGUGAGUGGACAAGAGGACUGUAUAUGAUUAGACAAGUGAAAUAAUGACACUCCUUGGCUUAACUCUCUCUGCAUGUUCUGAAACUGCUGUAACAGGACACUUGGGAAAGGAUUCUCCUAACCAUCCACACAUCACUUCCGUAUGUCCUCUUGUAGCACUCGGUGUAUUACUUACUCCAGUUAACCAUUAAAUUUUCAUUCUUGCCUUGACCAGAAGGAUGUUGGAUACUCCCCCCACCUUCCCUGUGAUUCUGAAAAGAGUAUUUGUGAUGUAAUUAUUCUACUGUUUUAUCAAUAAACUUGGUGUUCAAAACUU